AGAGUUUGAUCCUGGCUCAGGACGAACGCUGGCGGCGUGCUUAACACAUGCAAGUCGAGCGGAAAGGCCACUUCGGUGGUACUCGAGCGGCGAACGGGUGAGUAACACGUGAGUAAUCUGCCCCUGGCUUUGGGAUAGCCACCGGAAACGGUGAUUAAUACCGGAUACGACAACUUCUUGCAUGAGAUGGUUGUGGAAAGUUUUUCGGCCAGGGAUGUGCUCGCGGCCUAUCAGCUUGAUGGUGAGGUAAUGGCUCACCAUGGCUUCGACGGGUAGCCGGCCUGAGAGGGUGACCGGCCACACUGGGACUGAGACACGGCCCAGACUCCUACGGGAGGCAGCAGUGGGGAAUAUUGGACAAUGGGCGGAAGCCUGAUCCAGCAACGCCGCGUGAGGGAUGACGGCCUUCGGGUUGUAAACCUCUUUCAGCAGGGACGAAGCGCAAGUGACGGUACCUGCAGAAGAAGCACCGGCCAACUACGUGCCAGCAGCCGCGGUAAUACGUAGGGUGCGAGCGUUGUCCGGAAUUAUUGGGCGUAAAGGGCUCGUAGGCGGUUUGUCGCGUCGGGAGUGAAAACCAGGUGCUUAACACCUGGCUUGCUUUCGAUACGGGCAGACUAGAGGUAUUCGGGGGAGAACGGAAUUCCUGGUGUAGCGGUGAAAUGCGCAGAUAUCAGGAGGAACACCGGUGGCGAAGGCGGUUCUCUGGGAAUGACCUGACGCUGAGGAGCGAAAGUGUGGGGAGCGAACAGGAUUAGAUACCCUGGUAGUCCACACCGUAAACGUUGGGCGCUAGGUGUGGGGUCCAUUCCACGGAUUCCGUGCCGCAGCUAACGCAUUAAGCGCCCCGCCUGGGGAGUACGGCCGCAAGGCUAAAC
rnacentral:rRNA from 1 species